rnacentral:rRNA from 1 species
CCUACGGGUGGCAGCAGUGGGGAAUAUUGCACAAUGGGCGAAAGCCUGAUGCAGCGACGCCGCGUGAGGGAUGAAGGCCUUCGGGUUGAAACCUCUUUCAGUAGGGAAGCGGUACCUGCAGAAGAAGCGCCGGCUAACUACGUGCCAGCAGCCGCGGUAAUACGUAGGGCGCAAGCGUUAUCCGGAAUUAUUGGGCGUAAAGAGCUCGUAGGCGGUUUGUCGCGUCUGCUGUGAAAUCCGGAGGCUCAACCUCCGGCCUGCAGUGGGUACGGGCAGACUAGAGUGCGGUAGGGGAGAUUGGAAUUCCUGGUGUAGCGGUGGAAUGCGCAGAUAUCAGGAGGAACACCGAUGGCGAAGGCAGAUCUCUGGGCCGUACUGACGCUGAGGAGCGAAAGGGUGGGGAGCAAACAGGAUUAGAUACCCUUGUAGUC